AAUUGAAAUUCUCCCACAAGUCAGACGUAUGGAGUUUCGGCAUUGUUCUGCACGAGCUCUUCUCUUACUGCGACAUCAGUCGAAACCCCAAAAAAUUGUGUAUCCAGAAGAUAGGAAGUUAUGUCCAGAGUCAAUCCAUGGCUAUCCAUCUUCUUAAUCUUCUCAAGGAUAACUGGAGGUUACCGGCUCCAUCUCAGUGUCCACCAAAGGUGCACAGUAUUAUGAUGCAGUGCUGGGAGUUCAACAGCGAGGACAGACCAAGCUUCUCCUCUCUACAGGACCUGAAUCUGUUAGAUCUGUUAGAUGAGAGAGAGGGCUGUAAGGGGUCAAAUCAGAGUUACCCUUAACAGAUCACUACAUAUAUGUCAUAUAUGUAUAUUUGAUAUAUAUUUGAGUAUUUUUGGACAUAUUACAGUAGCUUUUUCAGUGUUUUGCUUCCUUUCAAAACAUAACCGUAGUUGCAGUAGAUCAGCUUGUAUAUUUGCCCAUACAUUUACAGAGCUAGCACUACCUGUUUAACCAUAUUCCUUAAUAAAAUGCAUAGGACCUCAUCUGUUUGACUCGCAAAUAUAUAGUCAAAAUUACUAGUGCACCACCUUUGUUUUGUUUUCUUUUUGUUCUGUUCUGGGGGGGGGUUAAAGGUGUUAAAGAAUUGUGUUAUA